rnacentral:rRNA from 1 species
CGGAGGGUGCGAGCGUUGUCCGGAAUCACUGGGCGUAAAGGGCGCGUAGGCGGCCUGAUAAGUAGGGGGUGAAAUCCUGCGGCUUAACCGCAGGGCUGCCUUCUAAACUGUCAGGCUGGAGCACAGUAGAGGCAGGUGGAAUUCCCGGUGUAGCGGUGGAAUGCGUAGAGAUCGGGAAGAACAUCAGUGGCGAAGGCGGCCUGCUGGGCUGUUGCUGACGCUGAGGCGCGACAGCGUGGGGAGCAAACAGGAUUAGAUACCCUAGUAGUCCACGCCGUAAACGAUGGGCACUAGGCGUCGGGGGGAGCGACCCUCCCGGUGCCGUCGCUAACGCAGUAAGUGCCCCGCCUGGGGAGUACGGCCGCAAGGCUG